AGCACAAAUGAUGAGUUUAGGGACUUAAUACUGAAGUCUGAUGUGACUUAAGCAAACUGAUGUGC